CCUACGGGUGGCAGCAGUCGAGAAUUUUUCACAAUGGGCGAAAGCCUGAUGGAGCGACGCCGCGUGGGGGAUGAAGGGCUUCGGCUCGUAAACCCCUGUCAUUCGAGAACAAACCCUGAAUCCUAACACGAUUCAGGCUGAUAGUAUCGGAAGAGGAAGGGACGGCUAACUCUGUGCCAGCAGCCGCGGUAAUACAGAGGUCCCAAGCGUUGUUCGGAUUUACUGGGCGUAAAGGGUGCGUAGGCGGCGAGGAAAGUUUAAGGUGAAAUCUCCAGGCUCAACUUGGAAAUUGCCUCGAAUACUUCCUUGCUAGAGGAUUGUAGAGGAGACUGGAAUUCUCGGUGUAGCAGUGAAAUGCGUAGAUAUCGAGAGGAACACCAGUGGCGAAAGCGGGUCUCUGGGCAAUUCCUGACGCUGAGGCACGAAAGCCAGGGGAGCAAACGGGAUUAGAUACCCUAGUAGUC
rnacentral:rRNA from 1 species